GAUAAAUUGGGCCUGAGGGCAGAGCAAGGAGGAGUCACUGCAAAAUGGAGUCUCUGUCCCAGCUUCUCUGUGGGCUCCUGAUGCUUUGGGUUCCAGUUUCCAGGGGAGCGAUUGUGCUGACCCAGUUUCCAGCCUCAGUGUCUGUGAGCCCAGGAGAGAGAGUCACCAUCAGCUGCAAGGCCAGUCAGAGUCUUGUACACAGUAAUGGAAACACUUACCUACACUGGGUGCAACAGAAACCUGGACAGUCUCCUCGGCUACUCAUAUACGAGGUUUCUAAGCUGCUCUCAGGAGUCCCCGCCCGCUUCAGUGGCAGUGGUGCUGGGAAGGAUUUCACCCUCACAAUCAGCAGGGUGGAGGCUGAAGAUGGGGCAGUCUAUUACUGUGUUCAGCAUUCUUAUCUUUCUCCCACUGUGUUACAGCCCUGAACAAAAACCUCCCCAGGCCUAUACUGACUGCUCAGGGAGGCCCAGCUGCCUCCCCUCCUUCCUCUGCUGCAGCAGCUGCUGGGGGCCUGCUCAGGUGCAGGGUCUCUGGGGCUGAUGUGAUAAAAGGGACUCGGGGCUCAGGGGAAAGGUCACGGUCUGAGAGAGCGCUGUUGCUGGAGUUAUGAAUAUUUCCACCCAUUCUGGAGAGCAAUUAAGAACUGUGCCCAAAAGGCGGUAAAACUGCAUAAUCUUUGACAGAAUCCUGAACACAGCUAAUUUUCUCCCAUUUUCUAGGAAAUGCUAAAAUGCUCAUCCUGGGAAUUUAACUUCCCAGACUAUCUUUAUUACCACUUUUAAGGCAACUAUAAUGUUCCCAGACUGCCUUGAUUAGCAUCUUUAAGAUACCUGUGAUGAG